rnacentral:lncRNA from 1 species
AUGGAGGAGUACCAUCGCCACUGCGACGAGGUUGGCCUCAAUGCUGAGGAAGCCCACAAUAUUGUCAAAGAAUGUGCAGACGGGGUUUUAGGUGGUGAAGAUUAUAAUUACAACAACAUCAACCAGUGGACCGCAAGCAUAGUGGAAUUAUCGUUAACACAUCUGCCUAAGCUGGGAAAAGCUUAUAAAUGUAUUGUGAAAUGUGCAGUGGUCCAGAAGAGCGCAUAUGGCUUUCGCACAGCAGCUCCUGUUUUUGGGAUACCACAUCUGAUGGAACCUGUACCGUAAGAUGGGAGAACUGGACCAUGAACUGUAUUGUCAAUGUUUUUGCCAUUGCUGUUCUUUAA